UAUUUCACCACUAAAGCGGAGGUAAGCUUGACAACAUAGCAUUUCAAUCUGUCAUAGAAGAAGAUGGCCAGGCUAUCCUAUCUUCUUCUAGUCCUCCUUGUCUUUGUAUCAGCUGAGAUGAUGAUGCCAAUGGUGGAUGCUAAGAAGUGUAUGGCUUACCUGGGUAUCAACGGCAACUGUGACCCCAAAGAAUGCUCUUGGGAGUGCUCUAAAUUCUACGAAAAUGGACGUGGAUAUUGUUUCUCAUUUCCUCCUGGAAAUAACAGCGCAUGUGUAUGCAUGCAUGACUGUUAAUUGAGCAAAUGCUAUCUCCGCUGUGUUGAGAAUAAGUAAUCUUCUACCUAUGAUGAUUUGAACUAAAGAUAUUGUGCGUAUGAAUAAAAUUAAGACUGAACCUUCUUUCAGAGGUCUUACAAUGUCA